rnacentral:rRNA from 1 species
CUGCGAGUGAAGAGGGAAGAGCUCAUCAUUGGAAUCUGGCAGUGUUGCACUGUCCGAGUUGUAGAUGAGGAGUAGUCCGUCUGGACUGCAUGGCGUCCAAGUACAAUAGGCCGUCAGUGGGACAUCAUAGAGGGUGACAAUCCCGUCCUUGACGCCAAUGUGCAAGUCUAUUACGAUGGCUAUCUCAGAGAGUCGAGCAGUUUGGGAUUUGCUGCUUAAACAUGGGAGGUAGAUUCCUUCUAAAGCUAAAUACAGGCGAGAGACCGAUAGAGAACAAGUACCGCAAGGGAAAGAUGAAAUAGCACUCUGUGAAGGGAGUCAAAAGGCGUGAAAUUGUUGCGAGAGAAGCGAUUCAAGUCAGCGUAGCUAGGCCCAUCAAGCGUCUUCGCUUUGGACUAGCUUUGCCAGCGGUCUUGUCCCUUGAAGAGACUUGACUUGUAAUAUGUCCAGCCUGGCGUGCACAGGCAGCCCCUUCUGGGGGCCAGUGGCAUGGCUGGUGGAAUGGCUUGCAAUCGACCCGUCUUGAAACACGGACCAAGGAGUCUAACAUGUAUGCGAGUAUAAGGGUGGCAAACCCGUAUGCGCAAUGAAAGUGAUUUUCGGUGAUUGAGAAUGGCCUGAUGACCAGACAAGCAAUAUAUGUCCCUCGUACGGCCAUUGCCCAAGUUCCGUGGUAGAUCCCACGAACAUGGAGUUGGAGCAUACAUGCUAGGACCCGAAAGAUGGUGAACUAUGCCUGGACAAAGCGAAGCCAAAGGAAACUCUGGUGGAGGCUUGUAGCGAUUCUGACGUGCAAAUCGAUCGUCUGAUCUGGGUAUAGGGGCGAAAGACUAAUCGAACCAUCUCAUAGCUGGUUCCUGCC